rnacentral:lncRNA from 1 species
UGGUUGGUUGAUUUGUAGCCACAAGCUCUCAGGGCUCACCCCAUCUCUUCAACUCCAUAAUCCAUAUCCAAACUUACAUUGUUGGAAUUUGAACUAUUGUAAAGUUUAAUGAGUUUAAAAAAAGUUUAAACAAUAGCACAAAGGGAAAAGAGGCAGCCAUGGAAGCUCUAAGAGCUCUCUCCCUUUCUUCGUUUCACCUCACCAUACCCCCAAAAAUACUUCCCGGAACCCAAAUUGAACAGUCACCCCUUUUAAAUCUCUCAUUAACUAAACGACCCAAUUCAUAUUUCUCAUCAUUUCAUGCCAACACACCUAAAUUCAAGCUUCAUACAGCCGUUUCUCGAGCUGUUUCAACUGAAUUGACAGACCCACCUGAGCAAGAACUAGAAAUUCAAAACCAAGAUGAGAAAUUUGACUGGUUUUCUCAAUGGUAUCCGAUCAUGCCGGUUUGUGACCUCGAUAAGAGUGCCCCACACGGGAAGAAGGUAUUGGGUCUUGAUAUAGUGGUGUGGUGGGACAAAAAUGAGAAUGCAUGGAAGGUGUUUGAUGAUGCUUGCCCUCAUAGAUUGGCUCCACUUUCUGAAGGAAGGAUUGAUCAGUGGGGGAGAUUGCAGUGUGUGUACCAUGGUUGGUGUUUUGGUGGUGCUGGUGACUGCAAAUUCAUUCCUCAAGCACCCCGAGACGGUCCUCCGGUGUUAACUCUGAAAUGACAAAUAUAUACUCCCAUUUUGUUAUUUAUAUAGCUAGAUCAUCUUGUUGCAUAUUACUAUAAUUGUAGUGUUAAUUUCAUUAGAUUAAGGUUAAAUCGAAAUAAGUUUUUUAUUUUUUUCAAGUUUAUUAGAAUUGCUAUGCAAUGAAUUAUAUGAAUUCUCAUGGACAACGUUAAAAAACUGUCCCUUCUGAUUGGUGUGAUUCAACUCUACCUGCGGUUUUUGCUAAAGUCUUUAUAUAAUAUAGCAUGUCUUAUCUUUUCCAUGUUAAUUCUCUGAUACAUAAAACUCAAAUUAUUAGCAUAAUGUUUCUUGGGGUACAACAAAGGGGUAAAGGCUCCAAAAUAAAUUAAAUAGUCAGAAUAGGGAAGGAGAUUUCAUUAUUAGAGGGUGUCGUAAGAAUGCGUAGCUCUUGACUUUGAUGCAGGGGCAGUCAUAAGUCAAGCCAAAAUAGGAUUUUUCAUUGGGUAAACUUCAAACGGCCGUAAGUUUUGAUUUAAGAAGAGUUACGGGGCCCAAAAUAUAUCAAAUUUAAGAUCUCAACAGCUCUAUAGAUUUAAUAUCGUAUGGGCCCCGUAACUCUCAUUGGAUAAAAAGUUAGUAAGUUAUGCCUGUUUGAAGUUUACAUGACGAAAUCUUCUAUUUUACUCGACUUAGUCGACUUUUGACUCUACCCCUGCAUAGGACUUGGUAUGAUGUUGGUCUUAGCAGAGUUGUGCACCAAAUAAUCUUCCUGCCAGGUAUGAAUAGACUUAUGCUGCCAUUGCAUUUUUUAAAAGCUCGCUUAUGUAUAGGAUUAAAGUAUAAUGCGAGUCAAGGUGGUCACUUUGAAGAUUUAAAUACAUGAAAAUUUGCAAGUCAAUCUCAGAAAUUACUUGAGUAAGCCUUCCUAUUGAGUCUGCCAGAGAAUUCCUUUCUAUAGGCAGUUUAAAUUUUCAAAAAUUAUCCUAGAUCACUUUACAUUCUUGCUCUUGAGGAUGACUAUCAUAUAAGAAUUUAAAGGCAGACUGUGUUGUGAACUAACCAUUUGGAUAGGCUUUCUAGAGGAUGACGUAAAGCAUGAUUUAGCUGUAACUUUACCCGUGGAAUUAUUGAUUGUUAACGAAGUUACUUUCUAGAUUGGUAAUUUAGCAUACGGGAAUUAGGAGUGCAGCAUGUUUUGAAUCUUAUGAUCCAAGUCACUGUAUGCUGUUCAUAUGUUUAUGUGAACUAUGCAAAAGAAAAACAGAAAAGAUGUGAAUUAGUUUUGCAGGUUUCUUCAUUUUGCAUAGAAAGUAAAAAGUUAUGUAUAAUUGAAGUUCAGCAAUUUCCUUCAUCAAAUGAGGAGUGCAGCAUGUUUUUUUUAGUAUUUUUAUCCAAGUAAAGAUGUUCUUAUGUUUAUUUUAUCUAUGCAAAAGAAUUCUAAAGAAGAUGUUGAUCAAUUUUAUAUUUUUCCGCCAGUUUUUGUACUCCAAUAGUUAAAAAUAAUACCAUUGAGGUUCAAUAAUCAUUUUACAUAUUUAUUUCUUCAUAUUGCCGGUGCUUGUAGCAUAUUAGACCAGUUUAUAUGUGGGAUUUGAAUUGAUCACUCCAACUAAUUAUGUAGAUAAACACAUCCAAGAAAGCAUGUGUAGCUGUUUAUCCAAGUACUGUGCAGAAUGACAUUGUUUGGUUUUGGCCAAACACUGAUCCUAAAUAUGUGGAUAUCCUUCUGAAGAAAAAGCCUCCGUACAUUCCAGAACUGGAUGACCCAUCAUAUGCUAGGUUAAUGGGAAACAGAGAUAUACAAUAUGGGUAUGCAACGAUAAUUCUUACCUAUUAUUUUAGUGUGCUUAUGUAUAAUUUUUUUUUGACAAACUUCGUUGACACUGUUUCUAAGUGGAAAUAUUUUAGAAGUUCCACUUCAGAGGGGAAAACCUUGUAGGUGUUGUGGACAAUCAUAAACUGAACUGAUAGAGGAACGGUAAUCUAGACAGGAAACCAAUUCAACAUCAUUUCCAUAAACCACCUCUAAAUGUCUAUGAAAAACACAGAAUUAAAUAAUUUUACUCAGAUACUCACUCUAAGGAUGAAAAAAAAUUGAAUCUUUGUAACUGGUGAAGGCCCUCUAGAAUGAUUCAUUAUCCUAAUAGCACAAAUGCUCUUAUACUACAUCAUAAUCAUGUUAUCAGAAAAUAAAAUAAAAAAUGAGACAUCAUGUGUUCAGUUUUUUGAGGAUUUACUCUUCAAAUCAAAUUCUUCACAAACAAGUUCAAGGACUAUAUCAACCUUCUUGUGAAGAAGACACUUAUAGGAAUCCAUUUUCAAAAUAGUCAUCCUAUAUCAUAGGCAAUUUCAAUUUCUAUUUAAUAGUUCAUUAUUCACAGUAGAAGUUAGUCAUAGAAAGCAGUAGUGGCGCCUCCAUUUGCUACAUGACCUUUGGUGUUGCAACUCACAAGGGAGUGACUUGUCCAACAUCAAAGUAGGAUGAAGAGGACAAAGAAAGAAUAUGUUGACUGGAUCAUUGUGGCACACUGUCUCUCUUUGUCCUCAACCCAAAUUUUCUGAAUCAAUUGGUAAUUAUGCAAAGAUAUAUGUACAUUUUCUUUGUGUAAUUUUGUUAUCAAAAUACUAUGGGUUCUUCUAGGUAAGAUGAAGUGAUUUUUUCAGGUACGAGGUUCUGAUUGAAAAUCUUAUGGACCCUGCUCAUGUUCCAUAUGCACAUUACGGUAUAAUGGGACGUCAAACAGGGAAAAACAGAUAAGAACUUCAAUAACACCAUUAUUUUUUGUUGUUGCAUUCCAUUUUCUCUUAAUUUAUAAUAGGUUCACCUAACUAACAAUAUGUUUUCCUCACUGAGAAGGUUGAUAGAGAAGGGGGCAGACCUAUUGAAAUAAGUAUAAAGAAACUAGACAAAAAUGGUUUUACUGCAAAGCAGGAGACCAUAGACUUCAAUUUUAUUGCUCCUUGUGUGUUUCAUGGUUAUGCUACUGUCAAGGGGAAACAAGGUAAAGGAUCUGCAUCAGCAGCUGGAACCACAGAGGUAUUCGUCAUGGUACAUUAAUUUGACUAAUGUUGGUUAAUUUGCUGUUAUUCUGAUCCUUUGAUAUUUGAACUUCGAUUUGUACAUACUUUGGUUGGUACAGGAGCUAUCAUCACAGGCGCCACAAAAAAGGGUCCUGUUAAUUUUUUUAUGUGUUCCAGUUAGUCCGGGUAAUAGCAGAAUUAUAUGGUCCUUCCCAAGAAACUUUGGAGUUUGGAUUGAUAAAGUUGUUCCACGAUGGAUGUUUCAUGUGGGACAAAACUUGAUCCUCGAUUCAGACUUAUAUCUUCUUCACAUGGAGGUAACUUCUGUCACUUUGUAGACUCAAGAGACAAUUUCCUGUUAGGUAGCUUGUUGUAUUUAUGUUAUGUUGCUUAUUUUCCUUUGAUACUUUUUGUGGAGUGACUAAUAUAAUUAGAAUAACCAAAUUGACAAAUUGGUUAUCAGGGAAGAUUGGCCACCUAGAUGAUUAGAACACAUGAGGUGUAUAGGCUACAAUCCUCAGCACAACCGUAGUAAAGGAAGGUUUACGUCUAACAGCUUUAGAUCAGCUAUAUCUGAUUUUUUUUGUUGCUAUUCUGCAUUCUUUUCAGCUAUUUCCUUUAUUACAUUAUUAUUGAUCAUUGUGAUUUGUUGUUAACAUAGCUUUGCUUUCUAUGCCUUUCUAGUACUUUUGGCUCAUUUAAUUUGAGCCAAUCCACUCUCAGGAAGCCCCUGCCUUCUUGUACUUCCAGGCCACUAAAUUCUUAACAAUCUAAUACUUCAGCAUCGAAUGCCAGAAAAUAAAAACAACUCUUUUGCAUCACUGUUCAAUGCACAUGAGUGGUUGGUUCAUGUAAUUUGGAUAUAAUAUUUUCCUUUAUAAAAAACUUUACGUAAGUUGUUUCGUCGAUUCUUAAAUAAUUUAAUUUCGGGGAGAAGCUGUUCCUUAAUCUGGCAUUGGACCUUGGAUUGUGCGAUACUUCAGGUAGAAUUCUCCAACUCAUAUUUGUUCCUUUCUUUUUGCUCUUUUUUUUUUCAACCCCCUGCCAAAAAGAAAACUCCCUGUUUAGUUGCUACCAGUCUUUUCAGAUACCAAAGUGGGUAAAACACGUAAGGGAAGGUGUAAGACUGAUGCAUCAUUCGUGGAACAUACUAUAAUAGCUUAAUCUUUUGGACUAAACUCAUCGUGUAGCACCCAUCAUCUUUUCCUUAUUUGUGCCACCUUUAACUCCUUAAAGUGCACCCCUUUAUUUCUUUAUUGUCAUUAGUCUCUCAUCCAUCCAUCAUAGGAGAAGACUGAAGUGUUUCCCCACAGUUUUCUCCAACAAGAAGUGAAACAUAGUUGCAGUUUUGGCUGUUUACUUCCUGACUAGCUACACAGCCAUAAAAAGCAUCCAUAUUCUGUUAUGUUUCAAUAAAUCUGGUGGAGCCUUGUCUAAGUUUUUAUUUCCCGACUCUUGUGUUUUCCAUAUAGGAACGUAAGAUUAUGGAUGUCGGCCCUUCCAACUGGCAGAAAGCUGUUUUUGUGCCAACAAAAUCAGAUGCUCAUGUGGUGGCAUUCAGAAGGUGGUUAAACAAGUAUUCAGGAGGUCAAUUUGAUUGGGGAACAAAGUUCAGUGGAGCCCUUCCGCCCACCCCUCCAAAAGAACAGCUGCUGGACAGGUAAGUUUCCUGCAAUUUUUUGGUUUUAAACAACCUACAAAAUUUUGUGGAUAGUGAAAUAGUUUCUCACUUUAUUAUAAUGAUUUAUUAUUUUUGGCUCAAGGGAAUGAGCCAAAAUAUUGGGAGAGGAUAAAGGUCGUUGCAACAUUAUAAUUUUAAUUAUAAUAGUGGAAAUCUGAAGUUACUAUUACUGAUCCUAAGGCUUUACUUUUUUACCGAGCUAUAAGAAAUGAGAUGAAUCCUUCAAUCACAUGUUAGAAUUCCUAACCCCAUUUGCUGUAAAAUUAAGUGUUUAUUUCCAUUUUUUCUGUAUUUAUUGAGAGGUUAACGAAUAGUUCUGAUAUACUUCAUGACAACUUGAAAUUUUCACAAAGUCGAAAACAUAAUGUAUAAACUCCUUUCCUGGUCUUAUGUUGUGCUGUGUGCUCUAGUAGGCUACACAAUGGGCUGUAGCCUGCCUUCUUGCCAUAUACCCCUCUCCUAUUGUGGACCUUUAUAAAGGACAAAAGAUAUUUCAUUUGAGCAAGACAUCUGAUGGUUAUGUAUGCAUUUCUUCCUACAAGCAUUAUGAUCUUUCAAACCUUAAAAAACUUAUUAAGGUUGUCAUAAUCUUAAUUUUCAGAUCCCAAUUGAUAAUGCUCUUUCUUUUUCAUUGUUUAGUAUAAAUGCUCUCUUCAAAUAUUGAAAAGAAAAGGCAACACCCCAGUUCCACAUCGACAUCUAUAUAAGGAAAUAAGUUACUACCAAUAGUGUCUUCAAGUCAUGACCUUUUGGGUGAGCCUUUGGUGGACUAAGAUGACCCAAGAAGAUACUAUUUGGCAAGUGGUUUAAGGCUUUAUUUGGAUGGAUUUUUUGAUUCGAUUCAGACUUGGGAUUUAACCGAGAUUUGUUCCGGACUCGGGAUUCGACCGGGUUGUUUCAUGAAGUGUUUCUGAAAAUUUCUUGGUAUAUUGUGUGUCAGGUAUUGGUCCCACGUAGUGAAUUGCCGCAGCUGCAGUGCUGCAUAUAAAGGCCUCAAUGCACUCGAGGUGGCGCUGCAGAUUAUCUCCAUUGCUACAGUUGGGAUUGUUGCUGCAACAAAGGAGGGCAUGAUCUCCGCGAUACUGAGGAAUACUCUGGUUGCCAUGGCAGUACUGUGCUUUGCCACAUCAAAAUUAUUGUCUCACUUCAUCUACAAGAAUUUCCAUUUCCAUGAUUAUAACCAUGCCUUCCGUUGAGACUCCUUGUUUCCUUGUCCUCCAGAUUUUUCAAUCGGUGUGUAAAUAUGAUUACUUAAAAAUCAUUAGAAAAUCGCUCGCUAUAGUAACCGUUCCAUUUCAAUGAGUUUUUAAAUGGUACUAGCAGUAUAAUCCCGUGGGGUCUUAUUGUUGAUUCUUAAUUAUUCGAAGUCUAAAAUUUUGAUUCUAAAAUUUUAUAUUUACAUUUUGGUGAAUUUUUUUAAAUAAUUCUUUAUAUUAAGGUUGAAUGAAAGUAUAAAAUAUAAAAUAAUUUAGGAAUAAUAAAAACAAGGAAAUUGUUUUCAAGCAUUGUAAUAUUUAUUUAUAUUUUCAUGUAAGAUUAUUUAUUUAAGAGAAUGUUAUGUUGGUUGUUGCAAAAAGGAUUUAGUAUUCAGUGGGUGAAUCCACUGUUGUAUGCGGAUUCAUAUUAGUUUUAAUUUUUUGAAAUAAAGAAAAAUUGUUACUGAUUAUUAUUCAACAAAGCAUGAGCCUUUUUUUCACCUUAAAUUAGAUCCUAAGCAAGAGCCUUUUUUUCACCUUCAAUUUUAUAUCAAACAUAUUAUAAAAUUCAGUUCAAUUUUAUCUAAUUUACUCACCAACAAUCAAUUACUCUACUUCACAACUUCUUACAAAAGCUAAAUAAAUAAAUACCAAUUAAAAAUAUAGCAAAUAUACCAUCUCUUCAAUUAAUAUGAGAAAUUAAAUUACCAUAAAUGUGUGUUUUUGCUUACUAAUAUGGUAUACCGUAUAUAUAUAUAUAUAUAUAGCAACACUCGUUGUUGGUGGGUUACCUAUCAUUACUCUUUUAAACUGUCCAAACAAAAUGACUGUGUUGGUAUAUGACUGGUGUCUGCAUGGAUGGCUGAUUUCAAGCCACAAGCUCUCAGAGCUCUCUAUCCAAACUUACUCCCAUUGUUGGAAUUUGAAUUACUUAUAUUAAAUUGAGUUCAAACAAUAGCACAAAGGGAAAAGAGGCAGCCAUGGAAGCUCUAAGAGCUCUCUCCCUUUCUUCGUUUCACCUUACCAUACCCCCAAAAAUACUUCCCGGAACCCAAAUUGAACAGUCACCCCUUUUGAAUCUCCCAUUAACUCAACGACCCAAUUCAUAUUUCUCAUCAUUUCAUGCCAACAAGCCCAAAUUCAAGCUUCAAACUGCCAUUUCUCCUGCUGUUUCAACUGAACUGACAGACCCACCUGAGCAAGAACUAGAAAUUCAAAACCAAGAUGAGAAAGUUGACUGGUUUUCCCAUUGGUAUCCGAUCAUGCCUGUUUGUGACCUCGAUAAGAGGGCCCCACAUGGGAAGAAGGUAUUGGGUCUUGAUAUGGUGGUGUGGUGGGACAGGAA